rnacentral:lncRNA from 1 species
UGAGAGAAGAUACUACAGAAGCAGAAAGUGUUCCCAUUGUGACAUCACUUUUGGUGGGCAGAACAAUUGAGCACUGAGAAAUUUAAGGGGAGAAGCAGAAGUGUUAGAAGGAAGGUAGACAGCUGUCAACAAUACAACCAUUUCCAAAUUGCUCUUCUUGGAAAUAAGAAGGAUGCUGCACAUUUGAUGUUGUCUUGAUGUGAUAUAUCAUAAACUGGAGCUAAGUGCUCAUAUCAAGAAUGAGGAACUUCCAACCAUUCAUGUCUGUGGUCAUAUCAACUGUUCGUGCCAGUUGAGACAUUUAAGAUAAGUAAGCGCAGCUUGCAUUUUAAAUUAAUAUUGCUUUAGAAAUAUAGAUGACAGCUCUGAACGUACAAUUGACAGGGCUUUUCAUAGACACCAUGUUCUUCAUACACUGAUGACCAAAUCUUAAACUUUUAGGUAUAUGGUGAUUGAGAUUUGCUAGAUCCCAAGAGUUCACCAAAACCAUUCUCUCUCUCCUCCAGCUGGCCAGUGGAGAGAUGAGUUGAGAUACAAACAGAGAGAGAUCCCUUAGUGAUUACCAGGCAUCACAGGUAAAAUCAAAAAGACACACCUGAGGAAGUUACUUGAAAUUUUAGCAAUCAAAAUCAGAGUAGGAUAAUGAGAAAUAAUAAUAAAAAAAAAUCUUAAAUACCUUACCCCCUCACCUUCCCUCCUUCCUAGGCCCAAGUUUAGCACUGUUUCUCUACCUCCUCCUACCCAGGAGUGCAGAGAGAUGGGGAAUGGGGGUUAAAAUCUAUUUAUCUUGUUUCUGCUGCUCCUUCCUCCUCAGGAAGAGGAGUCCAUCCUUUUCCCCGGUGUGGGGUCCCUUUUUUACCAUGAGGUGCAGUUCUUCAGUAAACAGCUGCUCCAGCCUGGGUCCCCUAUGACACCACAAGUCCUGACAGCAAACCUGUUCCAGUGUGUGCUCCCCUCUCCACAGGGCCAUGUGUCCUUACAGAAGCCUCCCCUAGUAUGGGGUUCCUGUGGGCUGCAGGUGAAUAUCUGCUUCUUGAAAGUCUGCAGUUUGUUAAUACUGGAAAAGCAAUUGGACAGUGGGGCCUCCUCAUUCUUGGCACUAUUUCAAAAGCAACUUGAAAUGCCCUGACAGCAGUUCUUCUCACAAAGUAACAUGAAGGUUGUGACACGGACCAACAAAAGGCUGACACACUGUCGUUAUCUCACCCUGUUGUGCUUAGGUAAUGGUGGAGCCUCAGAUCUGUGUGUGAUGUUAGCACUAUAUGUUCUUCAAUAACAAGGUGCCAGAAGAUGAAUUGAAUGUAGAAUAUCAUCUUUAACUUUGAAUUUCUAAGUUUAGACUAGAUCUUUCUGUAAUGUUAAAGACUGUCUCUACAUUUAUUAUACAAACCCACAGAUAAUAAACAGAUCAGUUCCUCAGAGAUGGCCAGUAUUUUUUAGCAUAAUAUUUUCAAAAUUAAUAUGUUCUGCAAAAAUGCAGCAAUA